CGACGCUGCACAGGCCGUCCUCCCCAACAAUAUCCUGGUGCUGAGUGAUGACUCAGCUGACUCCAGCAUCAGUGAUUUUGUUGAAGAGGGCAGCUGCCA
rnacentral:pre_miRNA from 1 species